rnacentral:piRNA from 1 species
GGAUGUCCGGACUAUCUCAGCUGA